CAGAACGAACGCUGGCGGCAGGCCUAACACAUGCAAGUCGAACGGAUCCUUCGGGAUUAGUGGCAGACGGGUGAGUAACGCGUGGGAAGCUACCUUGUGGUAGGGAACAACAGUUGGAAACGACUGCUAAUACCCUAUGAGCCCUAUGGGGGAAAGAUUUAUCGCCAUGAGAUGUGCCCGCGUUAGAUUAGCUAGUUGGUAAGGUAAUGGCUUACCAAGGCGACGAUCUAUAGCUGGUCUGAGAGGAUGAUCAGCCACACUGGGACUGAGACACGGCCCAGACUCCUACGGGAGGCAGCAGUGGGGAAUAUUGGACAAUGGGGGCAACCCUGAUCCAGCCAUGCCGCGUGAGUGAUGACGGCCUUAGGGUUGUAAAGCUCUUUCAGCAGUGAAGAUAAUGACAUUAACUGCAGAAGAAGCCCCGGCUAACUUCGUGCCAGCAGCCGCGGUAAUACGAAGGGGGCUAGCGUUGUUCGGAAUCACUGGGCGUAAAGCGUACGUAGGCGGACUGAUCAGUCAGGGGUGAAAUCCCGGGGCUCAACCCCGGAACUGCCUUUGAUACUGUCAGUCUUGAGAUCGAGAGAGGUGAGUGGAACUCCGAGUGUAGAGGUGAAAUUCGUAGAUAUUCGGAAGAACACCAGUGGCGAAGGCGGCUCACUGGCUCGAUACUG
rnacentral:rRNA from 1 species